CUAAUAAUGGUACAGCUCUGACAGGAGUAAUAAUUGCUGACAGGUGUGUCAGGCACACAGGUGUGCCUGCAGCCAGCAUUAAAAGCCCAGCACAGUCAGGCAGAGGUCUCUCUGAUCUCCAUCCACUUCCUAGCCAUGCAUCCUUGAGAAUAAACCAUGGUUUGGAUGGAAACUAAAACCUCAAAAGUGCUUCGAUUGUCAUCGGCUCUUUAAUUUGAGACACUUAGGUGGUCAGCUCUUUAACAAGAACCUAACAAGUUUUAAUAGUCACAGGACUGAUUUUUAAAAUUUUCAUUAGGGGACUCUGGUCAGCCCUUUACUUUUUCUGUGUUCAGUUGGAUUUUUACCUCAGUGUUCACACUUUAAUGUUUAUUGUUUUAUAUUUUUAUUCUUAUUUGUGGUACAGACCAAAGAUAAGGUAAUUUUAUUUAUUGUAUUUUGCUACUAUUGUUUUUACAAACUUAACUGUGGGUUAUGCUGACUACUGUUUAGUAGUAGGAGUGUUAGUACUUCUCUGAGGCUGCUCCCUUCCCAGGUGCACUGAGGCUGAUUGGACACACCUGUCUCUGCUCUGCAAUCAAGCCUGCAGAGACUUACCUCAGCUCCACAGUACUGCCAGCUACUUACCAGUGUGCCUCUCUCUGUGCUUCACCACAGCCCAGCCACAGCUGGUUGGGACAUCUCACUCCGGAGCCCUCACUACCCCCUACACGUGGAACCCCCUCCCUUCACUGAAAUUGUUAAUCAAU